rnacentral:rRNA from 1 species
AGUGAACGCUGGCGGUAGGCCUAACACAUGCAAGUCGAACGGCAGCACAGUAAGAGCUUGCUCUUACGGGUGGCGAGUGGCGGACGGGUGAGGAAUACAUCGGAAUCUACUUUUUCGUGGGGGAUAACGUAGGGAAACUUACGCUAAUACCGCAUACGACCUACGGGUGAAAGCAGGGGAUCUUCGGACCUUGCGCGAUUGAAUGAGCCGAUGUCGGAUUAGCUAGUUGGCGGGGUAAAGGCCCACCAAGGCGACGAUCCGUAGCUGGUCUGAGAGGAUGAUCAGCCACACUGGAACUGAGACACGGGCCAGACUCCUACGGGAGGCAGCAGUGGGGAAUAUUGGACAAUGGGCGCAAGCCUGAUCCAGCCAUACCGCGUGGGUGAAGAAGGCCUUCGGGUUGUAAAGCCCUUUUGUUGGGAAAGAAAAGCAGCGGGUUAAUACCCCGCUGUUCUGACGGUACCCAAAGAAUAAGCACCGGCGAACUUCGU